ACCAGCUCACCGGCGAGAUACCCGGCGACCUCGGGCGGUACUCGGAGCUGAACGUGAUCGAGGUGUCGGAGAACCAGCUGACGGGGCCGCUGCCGCCGUACGCCUGCGCCAACGGCCAGCUCCAGUACAUCCUGGUGCUGAGCAACCUGCUGACGGGGCCCAUCCCGGCGGCGUACGCGGCGUGCUCGCUGCUGCUCCGGUUCCGGGUGAGCAACAACCACCUGGAGGGAGACGUCCCGCCGGGCGUCUUCGGCCUCCCGCACGCCUCCAUCAUCGACCUCUCCUACAACCACCUGACGGGGCCGGUCCCCGCGGCGGUGGCCUACGCCGCCAACCUCACGUCGCUGUUCGCGUCCAACAACC
rnacentral:lncRNA from 1 species